rnacentral:snoRNA from 1 species
GCCGAAGAUGAUUUAUCUGCAGAAUGGAUUUGUUGUUGAACCAAGUCCCUGCAUGCAGGGAGAAUCUACUUGGGAAAGCAGCAACCUAUAUGACAUCAACUAACACUUCUGUGGC